rnacentral:rRNA from 1 species
AUUGAACGCUGGCGGCAGGCCUAACACAUGCAAGUCGAGCGAGCGGCGGACGGGUGAGUAAUGUAUGGGGACUGCCCGAUAGAGGGGGAUAACUACUGGCAACGGUAGCUAAUACCGCAUACUAUCGGAUAACCCAUAUGGGAUUAGCUAGUAGGUGAGGUAACGGCUCACCAAGGCCACGAUGCAUAGCCGACCUGAGAGGGUAAUCGGCCACACUGGGACUGAGACACGGCCCAGACUCCUACGGAGGCAGCAGUGGGGAAUAUUGCACAAUGGGCGCAAGCCUGAUGCAGCCAUGCCGCGUGUAUGAAGAAGGCCCUAGGGUUGUAAAGUACUUUCAGUCGGGAGGCGUUACCGACAGAAGAAGCACCGGCUAACUCCGUGCCAGCCGCCGCGGUAAUUC